rnacentral:lncRNA from 1 species
AAUAUUGCUUACAACAUAUGGAAGUGGUCAUUUGAUGUCUAACGGGAAUGAAAAUGGAAAGAACCUAAUGGAAUGAACUUUAACCUAAGACAUAUGAGAGGAAUGUUAGGUACGUUUUAAACUAUUUUUAAUAUAACCAUUGAUAGUGGUGGUUUCACCAAUCUUGCUUCUAUCUUGUUCCCAUUCCAAAAAAGGAUUUUCGUCAUCCACUUUUGUUAAAUAGUUCUCCAACUGCUUUACAUCAUUUUUGGGUUUUUAAUUCUUGUGAGAGUUCAUGAGAAAUGAACUAAUUAGUACUUGUUCAGUACUUGAAAUGCAGAAUAGAGUAAACACGGCGCAACAAUAAAAGAAAAUAGAAAAGAAAAGAAGAAAGGAGAGAGAGACAAAGAGAGGAGGAAGAUGUUUGCUUUCUGUUUGUUUUAACUUUACAUUCUGUCUUAUGUUUCUAAGACGUGCUGAUAUACUUGGUUUGAUUCUCUGUUCACUCCACUCUCCCUUAAAUUCAUAGUUGUAUUAUUUUUUCUUGGUUAGUUUUCGUAAAUACAUUUAUCAGCAAGAAUACAUGACAUUUUGGUGCCAUGUUCAGGGUCAUAAUUUUGAGGAUCACGGUUGAUGCAUGUUUUUUACACCUUUUUUAUUAUUAUCAGCUUUUGGGAUUUUGAAAGUUUUGAAAGAAUAUAUUCUACAAUGGUUAAUAUUGUCGAUUUAUUAACUAUUCAACUAAUUGUUAAAAUUAUAAAAGGGAAAUAAUGAAUAAAAAAUGAGAAAAAUACAUUUCUUUUUAAUUUU